CACGUAGGGGGCAAGCGUUGUCCGGAUUUAUUGGGCGUAAAGAGCGUGUAGGCGGCCAGGUAGGUCAGCUGUGAAAACUCGAGGCUCAACCUCGAGACGUCGGUUGAAACCACCUGGCUAGAGUCCGGAAGAGGAGAGUGGAAUUCCUGGUGUAGCGGUGAAAUGCGCAGAUAUCAGGAGGAACACCGGUGGCGAAGGCGGGUCUCUGGGCCGAUACUGACGCUGAGGAGCGAAAGCGUGGGGAGCGAACAGG
rnacentral:rRNA from 1 species